rnacentral:tRNA from 1 species
AAGAUUUUAAGUUAAAUAAACUAUUAAUCUUCAAAAUUAAACAUAAAUCCUAUUUAAAUCUUA